GACGAACGCUGGCGGCGUGCUUAACACAUGCAAGUCGAACGGAAAGGCCCUGCUUUUGUGGGGUGCUCGAGUGGCGAACGGGUGAGUAACACGUGAGUAACCUGCCCUUGACUUUGGGAUAACUUCAGGAAACUGGGGCUAAUACCGGAUAGGAGCUCCUGCUGCAUGGUGGGGGUUGGAAAGUUUCGGCGGUUGGGGAUGGACUCGCGGCUUAUCAGCUUGUUGGUGGGGUAGUGGCUUACCAAGGCUUUGACGGGUAGCCGGCCUGAGAGGGUGACCGGCCACAUUGGGACUGAGAUACGGCCCAGACUCCUACGGGAGGCAGCAGUGGGGAAUAUUGCACAAUGGGCGGAAGCCUGAUGCAGCAACGCCGCGUGCGGGAUGACGGCCUUCGGGUGGGAAACCGCUUUCGCCUGUGACGAAGCGUGAGUGACGGUAAUGGGUAAAGAAGCACCGGCUACUACGUG
rnacentral:rRNA from 1 species